rnacentral:rRNA from 1 species
GAUGAACGCUGGCGGCGUGCCUAAUACAUGCAAGUUGAGCGAACGGACGAGAAGCUUGCUUCUCUGAUGUUAGCGGCGGACGGGUGAGUAACACGUGGACAACCUACCUAUAAGACUGGGAUAACUUCGGGAAACCGUAGCUAAUACCGGAUAAUAUUUUGAACCGCAUGGUUCAAAAGUGAAAGACGGUCUUGCUGUCACUUAUAGAUGGAUCCGCGCUGCAUUAGCUAGUUGGUAAGGUAACGGCUUACCAAGGCAACGAUGCAUAGCCGACCUGAGAGGGUGAUCGGCCACACUGGAACUGAGACACGGUCCAGACUCCUACGGGAGGCAGCAGUAGGGAAUCUUCCGCAAUGGGCGAAGGCCUGACGGAGCAACGCCGCGUGAGUGAUGAAGGUCUUCGGAUCGUAAAACUCUGUUAUUAGGGAAGAACAUAUGUGUAAGUAACUGUGCACAUCUUGACGGUACCUAAUCAGAAAGCCACGGCUAACUACGUG